rnacentral:lncRNA from 1 species
UUAGAGAUGUGUCAUUUAUUUUAGAACAGACUAAAAAGAAAAGUACCUCAUUUAAUAUGAAAUGGAGGGAAUAAUAUUUAUAACAAUUCAACCAACUAAUCAAACAACCAACUAUCAAACAACAUGAAUUAAACUUGUUUUUAACUUCAACUCUAAAACAUUCAAAUAGCCUUUUCAGCAUCAGCCUUUUCCCUAGACUCAGACUCAGACUCCAUUGCAGCUUCUUUCUGCUUUUCUUUUUUAACAAUUUUUGAAUCAAAGCCUGAGUUUCUUGAAAUUCUUGUGACAUUUAAUCUACUAUUUGACGCAUAGCUUCCAUGUCUUCUUGGGAAACUGAUACCCCAGUGAAUAAUGCUGCUGGCGGACGAUUGGAGGAUGGUUGUACUCCAAUCUCGAUGACUCGAUCUUUAUUUAUUAUUUUCACGAGAAAUAAGGAAAAGAAAGUAAAAGAAGUAAGAAAACUAACAAGCAACUUUCAAAUUAAUACCAAAAUAGAUAAUUAUAUAAUAUUUAUACCUUUAUUUAUGCCACCGCUUGUGUCCAUAUGUAAUUAAUGAAUAUAAAAUAUUUACAUGUAAAAACAUUUAACCUAACAAAUAUAAACAUAAAGUAUACAUAAUAAAUAUAACAAUAUAAACAUAAAAAACGAAGAUGUCAUUAAAUUAGUCCAUUUUGUUUUAAAUUAGCAUAUAAUGCGCUCUAAUACAUAAUUGAAUGAAUCUUCUUCAUUUAUUCCAAUAAUAAGUAAUAUAAUUAACACAUAGAUAGCGGAUGAAGAAUUUUCAAAUGAAAAAACGAAACAAAGAAGUAUUAGCACUUAUGUCGUUUCUUAACUAACCCAACUUAAAUAUAUAAAAGUUCUAACUCUUUAAAAUAUUGUUCGGCUUUAAUUAUUAUAACCGAAAUUAUAAGAAGCAUUAGCACUUAAAUUAUUUCUUUAUUUAUUUUUUAUAUAAACAAAAAUUCCAUACUUAUAGAACAUACCCAAAUUAUUCUAAAAAUUUUCUUGAUAUACUAUUAGAUACAUACAAGUAUACUAUCCAUUUUCAUAAGAAUAUUUAACUAAAAAAUAGCUAAUUAAUCUAAACAAGCAAAUUUUUAACAAGUCAAUAUAUAUAUAUAUGAAAAAGAUUAUUGUUAAUUUAUCUAUACUAUAUUGAAAAUUAUACAGCUAAUUUAUAUAUACUAUUUUUCUAAAUUAAUGCAGAAAAAGUACAUGAAAAACGACCAACGGAUUUUCUAUCGAACCACCACCCGGAGGGGAGAUGAGCCGCCAGAUUCCUGCACAAAAAACGAGUUAAACAACUUUGGAAUAAAGAUUUGGGGGGGG